rnacentral:rRNA from 1 species
GAUGAACGCUGGCGGCAUGCCUAAUACACGCAAGUCGAACGGACUAAUUAAAAUCGAUUUCUUCGGAAUGAUUUUUUAUGCGGUUAGUGGCGAACGGGUGAGUAACACGUAGGUAACCUGCCCAUUUUGUGAGGAAUAACUAUUAGAAAUGAUAACUAAUGCCUCAUAGGUGAGAAAGAUGGCAUCAUCUUCUCAUUAAAGUUGGUUUUCAACGCAAAUGGAUGGACCUGCGGUGCAUUAGCUAGUUGGUGAGGUAAAGGCUCACCAAGGCCAUGAUGCAUAGCCGACCUGAGAGGGUGAACGGCCACAUUGGGACUGAGACACGGCCCAAACUCCUACGGGAGGCAGCAGUAGGGAAUUUUCCACAAUGGGCGAAAGCCUGAUGGAGCAAUGCCGCGUGAGUGAUGACGGUCUUCGGAUUGUAAAGCUCUGUUAUAAGAAAAGAAUACAUUAAUUAGGAAAUGAAUUAGUGAGUGACUAUCUUAUCAGAAAGCCACGGCUAACUACGUGCCAGCAGCCGCGGUAAUACGUAGGUGGCAAGCGUUAUCCGGAAUUAUUGGGCGUAAAGGGUGCGCAGGCGGUUUAUUAAGUCUAAGGUAAAAUCUUGAAGCUCAACUUCAUUAAGCCUUGGAAACUGGUAAACUAGAGGAUAGAAGAGGGCAACAGAAUUCCAUGUGUAGUGGUAAAAUGCGUUGAUAUAUGGAGGAACACCGGCGGGCGAAGGCGGUUGCCUGGUCUAUCACUGACGCUCAUGCACGAAAGCGUGGGGAGCAAAUAGGAUUAGAUACCCUAGUAGUCCACGCCGUAAACGAUGAGAACUAAGUGUUGGGGUUAGAACCUCAGUGCUGCAGUUAACGCAAUAAGUUCUCCGCCUGGGGAGUAUGCACGCAAGUGUGAAACUCAAAGGAAUUGACGGGAGUCUGCACAAGUGGUGGAGUAUGUGGUUUAAUUCGACGCAACGCGAAGAACCUUACCAGGUCUUGACAUGGUGAUAAAGGCUUUAGAGAUAGAGAGAUAGUUAUAUCACACACAGGUGGUGCAUGGUUGUCGUCAGCUCGUGUCGUGAGAUGUUGGGUUAAGUCCCGCAACGAGCGCAACCCUUGUCUUUAGUUACCAUCAUUAAGUUGGGGACUCUAGAGAGACUGCCGGUGACAAAUCGGAGGAAGGUGGGGAUGACGUCAAAUCAUCAUGCUCCUUAUGACCUGGGCUACACACGUACUACAAUGGCGAUUACAAAAAAGUUUGCAAGAUGGUGACAUUUAGCUAAUCUAUUAAAGAUCGUCUCAGUUCGGAUUGAAGUCUGCAACUCGACUUCAUGAAGUUGGAAUCACUAGUAAUCGUAGAUCAGCAUGCUACGGUGAAUACGUUCUCAGACUU